rnacentral:rRNA from 1 species
CAGCCGUAAACUAUGCUCGCUAGGUGUCAGGCAUGGCGCGACCGUGUCUGGUGCCGCAGGGAAGCCGUGAAGCGAGCCACCUGGGAAGUACGGCCGCAAGGCUGAAACUUAAAGGAAUUGGCGGGGGAGCCACAACAACGGGUGGAGCCUGCGGUUUAAUUGGACUCAACGCCGGACAACUCACCGGGGACGACAGCAAUAUGUAGGCCAGGCUGAAGACCUUGCCUGAAUCGCUGAGAGGAGGUGCAUGGCGUAGACGUCU